rnacentral:rRNA from 1 species
AGCAGCCGCGGUAAUUCCAGCUCCAAUAGCGUAUAUUAAAGUUGUUGCAGUCAAAAGGCUCGUAGUUGAAUUUCGGGGUCAGUUCGUUGGUCGUGCCUUUGGUAUGUACUGGUGUUACUGGUUCCUCCCUUCUGACGAACCGUCAUGUCAUUAAUUUGGUGUGGCGGGAAAUCAGGACUGUUACUUUGAAAAAUUAGAGUGUUUAAAGCAGGCUCGCGCUUGAAUACAUUAGCAUGGAAUAAUGAAAUAGGACGUUCGAUCCUAUUUUGUUGGUUUCUAGGAUUGACGUAAUGAUUAAUAGGGAUAGUUGGGGGCAUUAGUAUUCAAUUGUCAGAGGUGAAAUUCUUGGAUUUAUUGAAGACUAACUACUGCGAAAGCAUUCGCCAAGGAUGUUUUCAUUAAUCAAGAACGAAAGUUAGGGGAUCGAAGACGACCAGAUACCGUCGUAGUCUUAACCAUAAACUAUGCCGACUAGGGAUCGGAUGAAUGUUAAUUUUUAAUGUACUCUAUUCGGCGCCUU